GGUCAUUUAUAUUUUUUAAUGGUAUUUUCAAUUGACAAUAAUUGUUUAUAUUUAUGGGGUACAAUGUGAUGUUUUGAUACAUGUGUAAAUUGCAGAAUGAGUAAAUCAAGCUAAUUAACAUAUCCAUAACUUCAUCUGUGUAUUUUUGUGGGCAUAGUGAGAACACUGAAAAUUUACUCUUAGCAAUUUUGAAAUAUAUAAUACAUUCCGAACUAUGGUCACCCACCAUGCUGUGCCACAGAUCUCAGAAACUUAUUCUCCUGUCUAACCCAAACAUUGUACUCUGUGACCUACAUUGCCCCUUUGCCUCUCCUCCUUAGGUUUAAAUUUGGCCUCUACCAGUUGCUAGUUCUGUCAUUUGGGGUGAGUUGCUUUAAACCCCAGGCCUCAGUUUCCCAAGAAAUCAGCUGUGCCAUCAAAGACAGUGCCUGCAAUCUGCGCAGCUCCUCCCAGGACAGAGAUAUGUGCUGAGCAAUUGAUUGUUAAAUGUGGACCAGAAAGCAGAUCUGCUGGAGCCAACAGCAAGCAGGGUGGUUUCUGAGAAAGGCCUCACCUCGCUUUCGAAGGUUGAGGUUGGAGAGGGUGGGGUGUAUCAGGAUUGAAUCUACUCAUGGGAAAAUAGCCUCUCUGAAUGUGCCCACUGGAUUCCUGCCCUGACCCUGUCCUGGGCUCCUGGAUCACCCUGUUCUCGCCCAGAGAGAAGCUGGCUCCAUCUGGGGAUGAGUGAGGGCAGACGUGUCUGGUGGGACAGAGCCUGGGCCACAGCCUUGCACCUGCAGAACCCAUUGUACAAACACACAGUGCAUGGAAGAGGAACCUGCAGCCCAGCACAAAGCUGCUCAAACAGAAACCAAACCAAAAGCUAACCUCAGCCAAUUCAGAGGCAGGUCCACAUCUGAACCAAGAGCUCUCCCAGCAAAUUGGCCUGGAAAGCCCUUCUCACAUCAAGGCAGGAAGAUAAUAAUGACCCUCAUCUUUCAAAAGAGGAAGCUGAGACACUGAGAGGGUAGGUCCCCUGAAGGUCAUACAGCUCUUAAAUGCUGGGGCCAGGAUUCCAACGCAGGCAGGGAGGCCCGGAUCUGAGCUCACAGUGACCACACCCCAGCCUCUGUGAACUGAAUUUACGCAAUGUCUGGGAAGAAAAGGCAGGGUCCACUCCGCUCAGAGCCAUGCAGGGCAGUGUGCUCCCGUCUCCCCGGCAUUUGAAUCACUCUUGUGGUGUGUGUCCAGCACAGAUGCACGGGACCCCUCAGGCCCAUAUCCUCAAACAGGUAGUGGUGGGGCACCAGUGCACGAACACUAGGGCUCAGCAGUCAGCCUGGGCGGGUCACAGUUCCGAUACCCUCCAGGCUGUCUGGGAGGCGGCCUGGCUGUGGGACCAGUUCUCAUGUGAAGCAAUGAAGCCACUCUGAGCUUGGCCCCCUGCCCUGGCAUGGGCACUGGGCUGCCUGUGUGAAACUCUUGUUUCUCCAGGUGCAAGACAAACCUGGCACUCUUUCUGGCUUCUCCAUUCACUUGCCGGGGGCAGGUGGCCAAGCCUGGUUUCAUCUCCUUGGGGGGGAAUGGAAUACUCUCCACAUUCAACCCAAAAACAGCCCCAGCAAAGGGCUGACAUGGGAGGGAGAGGGGCAGGGUGGCGCCACGCACCCACGGGCACCCAAUGCUUUGACGCCGAGACCCAAGCAUCUCUCUCAGACAUCCCUUCUCAUACCAGAAACAGAGCCCACGUAUACCAGUCAGACCUGCAGUCAGGCCCAUUCACGAGUCAGGCCCAUUCACCAGUCAGAAACCACACAGCCACUUAUUUGAACAGGGGAAGUUUAAUAUAAAGAUGAACUCUACUCGGAGCAUAGAGUUUAAAAAGAGUUCUAC
rnacentral:lncRNA from 1 species